rnacentral:lncRNA from 1 species
AGAGACCAUCCAGACCUACCGCUCUGUCAGCGAGAUGGCUUCAAACAAGGUAAGCACACCGCUUUCUCUAACUACAACUGGAGCGCCCGGCAGCAACUCCUUUCUGGUUGACUUGGUCCAAGUGUGGCACUUUCUUUGCUUGUGCCUUGCUAACACAGUAAGCCGAAAUUUCUUAGUCAGUGUUAAUGUCCAAAAAAACCCAAAUUUCCGAAUUUGUGCAUUAUCGAAUUUAAGUUAGAGAUAUCUGCAUUCCUUUAAAAAAUAUAAUUGUUAAAAAAAUAUAUAAUUGUUUGUAGAAAACUAAAAUCUGCCCGAGUCUUGCCACAUUCUAAUCGGUUCAGUAGACACGUGUUCGACCAGAAAGUAGGUCCAUCACUUUUUUUUUAUGAGAACACAAAUUUCCUUCAAGUCUGACAAUUUCUUGCUGUGAAUAAGGGCAUUUUGGUAUUUAUUACACUUCCUUUGUGAUGCUGACAUGGUGUGAGACUUAAAAAGAAGAAGAAGGAAACAAUAUACUUUGCCUUCUAAGUUUUGUUUUGUUUUUCCUAAUUUUAAGGGUGAAAAUCAUUUAAAAUUAAAAUCCACCGAUAC